AAUUAUCUUUAUGAACAAGUGUCCUCGUCAAUCCCAAGAAUCUCUAAACUGUGGAUAUUAUAUAUGUCGAUAUAUGCUCGAGACUAUAGAGAAAAGGCGACAAGUGAUUCCUGAUAAGUACUUUGGCGGAGUUACAACUGAAUUUCCUCAAAAUAAGCUUGACGAGUUGAGAGACUUAUGGAUCAAAUACGUGGAGGAAUAUAAACAAGCGGAAGAAGAGGAAUCUGAAGAAAGUGUCGAUUUUGAUUAGGUGUUAAGCGGGAUUAGAUAGGUAAUUAGUUAGAACAAUGAGUUGAUUAAUUUACUCUACAUAUGAGUUGAAAGAAAUAAUGGCUGCUUUAGGUAUCUUUUAAUAAGUUGAUUUUUUGAAUCUUCAUAUAUCGAUAUUAUUUUGUAA